GUGAUGGCGCUGCUUACCAUGCAAGUUGAACAAGUUCAAAUUUUUCGAAAUUUGAAUUAGCAGCGAACGGGUGAGUAACACGUAAGAACUUACCUUUAGGUAAGGAAUAACUAUUGGAAACGAUAGCUAAUACCUUAUAAACUAAAAGUGAAAGGUGAAAAUCGCCUAAAGAUAGGCUUGCGUCUGAUUAGCUUGUUGGUGAUUUAAAAGAUCCACCAAGGCAACGAUCAGUAGUUGGUCUAAGAGGAUGAUCAACCACACUGGGACUGAGACACGGCCCAGACCUCUACGGAGGGCAGCAGUGAGGAAUUUUCCGCAAUGGGCGAAAGCCUGACGGAGCAAUGCCGCGUGGAGGAAGAAGGCUUGUGAGUCGUAAACUUCUUUUCUUAGUGAAGAAAAAAGACGGUAUCUAAGGAAUAAGCAUCGGCUAACUCCGUGCCAGCAGCCGCGGUAAUACGGAGGAUGCAAGCGUUAUUCGGAAUUAUUGGGCGUAAAGCGUCUGUAGGUAGCUUUUUAAGUCUACUGUUAAAUAUUAAGGCUUAACCUUAAAAAAGCGGUAUGAAACUAAAAGGCUUGAGUUUAGUAGGGGUAGAGGGAAUUCUCGGUGUAGUGGUGAAAUGCGUAGAGAUCGAGAAGAACACCGGUAGCGAAAGCGCUCUACUGGGCUAAAACUGACACUGAGAGACGAAAGCUAGGGGAGCAAAUAGGAUUAGAUACCCUAGUAGUCCUAGCUGUAAACGAUGGAUACUAAGUGUUGGACUAUAAAAAGUUCAGUGCUGUAGCUAACGCGUUAAGUAUCCCGCCUGGGAAGUAUGCUCGCAAGAGUGAAACUC
rnacentral:rRNA from 1 species